rnacentral:rRNA from 1 species
UACGUAGGGUGCGAGCGUUGUCCGGAAUUAUUGGGCGUAAAGAGCUCGUAGGCGGGUUGUCACGUCUGCUGUGAAAUCCCGAGGCUCAACCUCGGGCCUGCAGUGGGUACGGGCAGACUGGAGUGCGGUAGGGGGAGAAUGGAAUUCCUGGUGUAGCGGUGAAAUGCGCAGAUAUCAGGAGGAACACCGGUGGCGAAGGCGGGUCUCUGGGCCGAUACUGACGCUGAGGAGCGAAAGCGUGGGGAGCGAACAGG